rnacentral:rRNA from 1 species
UACGGAGGGUGCAAGCGUUAUCCGGAUUUACUGGGUUUAAAGGGUGUGUAGGCGGACUUUUAAGUCAGCGGUGAAAUCUCCGGGCUCAACCCGGAAACUGCCAUUGAUACUAUUGGUCUUGAAUGUUGUUGAGGUGGGCGGAACGGGUCAUGUAGCGGUGAAAUGCAUAGAUAUGACCCGGAACACCAAUUGCGUAGGCAGCCCACUAAGCAACGAUUGACGCUGAGGCACGAAAGCGUGGGGAUCAAACAGG